GUGGAAUAUAAGUUUUCAUGCACAGAAGAUUUGUAAUAUAAAUUUUAAUUAAAUUGCAGCAAACUUCCAUUGUUUCUGAAACAUCUGAGAGCUCAAAUAUGAAAAUUUCCAAGCCUUGAAACCCAUGUGUUUGUUUUAUAUCUAGUUUCAAUUUUGAAAUAGACUGAUAUGAUUGAAAAUCAAUCCGAUUGGGAUACGAACUCUGGGAUUUCACGUUUCAUUUCCAUUUCUACAAUAAAAAAUAUGAUACAAUAA
rnacentral:misc_RNA from 1 species